rnacentral:rRNA from 1 species
UACAGAGGGGGCAAGCGUUGUUCGGAAUUACUGGGCGUAAAGGGCGCGUAGGCGGCCUGCUAAGUCGAACGUGAAAUCCCCGAGCUCAACUCGGGAACUGCGUCCGAUACUGGCAGGCUUGAAUCCGGGAGAGGGAUGCGGAAUUCCAGGUGUAGCGGUGAAAUGCGUAGAUAUCUGGAGGAAUACCGGUGGCGAAGGCGGGUCUCUGGACAGUUCCUGACGCUGAGGCACGAAGGUCAGGGGAGCAAACGGG